UAUAAAUAGUCCACUACCAUAGUCAACAUCCAACUAACUCACUCUGUUCAGACUUAGGUUGGGACAGACUGACUUCACACUUGCAAGAGUAUUGAAUAAAGAAUUCUUUACAGGAACAGCUUUAUUAGAUACAGUGUGUAAGGACUGCUCAGAGGAAACAUAUUCUGAUGGUUAAUUUAUGCUCUGCAAAUCACAUACAAAUGUGAGUCUUUGGGGCAGAUAACAAUCACACAGAGAAAACAGUCGAGUGAUGCAGUGUGCAGCCAUAAACCGUCUCAUCUGGGCCUCAUCAUUGGGAUUUUGGUGCCAUCUCUAUUGGUGCUGGUCAUCUUAAACGUUUUACUUUGGAAGAAAAAAGAAAAAUUUAACAUGCUGUAGGAAUCUUUUUAACUGUUAAGAAACUUUUAUUAACAUUAUAUAUAUUUAUAUUUGUGAAUUUGUGUCAUUUCUUACUUAUUUAACACACAUUUACAUUACAGAAUAAUAACAAUAUGUGGCAGAGAGUGUGUUCAGUGCACAUGUGUGAC